AUUGAACGCUGGCGGCAGGCCUAACACAUGCAAGUCGAAUGGUAACAGGAAACAGCUUGCUGUUUCGCUGACGAGUGGCGGACGGGUGAGUAAUGUCUGGGAAACUGCCUGAUGGAGGGGGAUAACUACUGGAAACGGUAGCUAAUACCGCAUAACGUCGCAAGACCAAAGAGGGGGACCUUCGGGCCUCUUGCCAUCGGAUGUGCCCAGAUGGGAUUAGCUUGUUGGUGGGGUAACGGCUCACCAAGGCGACGAUCCCUAGCUGGUCUGAGAGGAUGACCAGCCACACUGGAACUGAGACACGGUCCAGACUCCUACGGGAGGCAGCAGUGGGGAAUAUUGCACAAUGGGCGCAAGCCUGAUGCAGCCAUGCCGCGUGUAUGAAGAAGGCCUUCGGGUUGUAAAGUACUUUCAGAGGGGAGGAAGGGAGUAAAGUUAAUACCUGUGCUCAUUGACGUUACCCGCAGAAGAAGCACCGGCUAACUCCGUG
rnacentral:rRNA from 1 species